GGACUACUGGGGUAUCUAAUCCCGUUCGCUCCCCUGGCUUUCGCGUCUCAGUGUCAGAAAACGUCCAGGAGCUCGCUUUCGCCACGGGCGUUCCUUCCGAUCUCAACGCAUUUCACCGCUCCACCGGAAGUUCCAGCUCCCCCUACGUUCCUCGAGACGGGGCGUAUCGGCGCCACUUCCCCGGUUAAGCCGGGGGAUUUCAACGACCGACGUUCCCAUCCACCUACACGCGCUUUAAGCCCAGUGAUUCCGAAUAACGUUCGCACGGUUCGUCUUACCGCGGCUGCUGGCAC
rnacentral:rRNA from 1 species